GUUAGGAAAUCCGUAGAUUGAUUGCAAUCUAAUUGCGCAGCGGAAAAAUAAAAUUUUGGAUUUCCUUUCCCAGAAUCCGAGUGCUCCGUUUAAAUCAAAAGAAAGAUGUGAGACUAACCUGUUAAUCUCGUAGUGAAGAUACACUGGCGGACUGAUGGUGCUGCCUUUUCAAACAAACACCCUCUAUGGUAUCCACACGAACGUCUUCUAUCCUUCCAGAGUGCUAGCUCUUUUCA
rnacentral:lncRNA from 1 species